UACGUAGGGUGCGAGCGUUGUCCGGAAUUAUUGGGCGUAAAGAGCUCGUAGGCGGUGUGUCACGUCGAUCGUGAAAACUUUCAGCUUAACUGGGAGCUUGCGGUCGAUACGGGCAUCACUGGAGUUCGGCAGGGGAGACUGGAAUUCAAGGUGUAGCGGUGAAAUGCGCAGAUAUCUUGAGGAACACCGGUGGCGAAGGCGGGUCUCUGGGCCUUACCUGACGCUGAGGAGCGAAAGCGUGGGGAGCGAACAGG
rnacentral:rRNA from 1 species